rnacentral:tRNA from 1 species
GCCCUAGUAGCUUAACCCCAAAGCGCCGGUCUUGUAAUCCGGAGAUUGGAAGUUAAACUCUUCCCUAGCGCC